ensembl:lncRNA
CUGCAACAAACCCCAGUUUAAGAGCGAGGCAAAGCAAUUCAUGUGCAUGCAUCCGUUUAAAAGUUGCAUUCAAUUUAACAAGGUUGUGCUUAUGUUGUAUAAAAUUGCUUAAAGGAUCAUUAGAUAGACUGCUAAUUUUCUCUGCAGUCAUUCGCUCACUGGAUUAUACUAGAUAUCUAACAAACUAUAGUUAAAGAAGUUGGUCAAAUUAUGGAGUAAAAAAAUCAGACUAUAGUCACGGUUUCCACGGGUGAUUGAAAAUGUCUUAUAUUCCUUAAUGUAAAAAUAAGGCCUUGAAACGUCUUAAAUUCAUGUUUCAUAGGUCUUUAAAAACAACAGGAAAUGCCACUCCACCACAACUUCAUCUCUUUCUGUGCUGUUUGUUAUUUUUCCCGUCCUCUGUUUUGGAUUCCCAGCCAUGAAAACAUGCCACAGUUGCUGACCCACACUUCACCAUGGACUAUGAGCCCUAACGGAAACGAUGGCAGGAAGUGUGGAUGUGUGACUCUUUUCGUGGUCUUUCCCUGGAAAGGACUGACUGAUUUGGGGAUGCUGUAUAAGGGAGGAAACUCCUGUUUUUUUCCCCCCUUCCCUGGUUACAUAUUUUCCUCUCGCUCUCUGUGUCUCUCUGUGAGGCGUUCUUAGAUUCAUUCUGUUGAACUCACCCUCGUUCUCUCUCUCUCUCUCUCCCCCCCACCAUGCUGCAAACCCCCCAUUUUAUCCCAGAUCUCUACCCAAAGGCGUGUGGCCGGUUUUGUGUCACCCCCUACCCCCCUCGUGCCGGGCUCUUGUAGUCCAUGAAAUCUGACCUCAAUGUUUAGUUCUUUAGGUGAUCUUUUAAUUUUACAGUAAUUAAAUGCAGUUUAAGGUGCACAUGGAGUUUAUGUAAAAGAAUGGCAUAAAGGACAAAAGAUAUCAGUUAUUAUAUAGAAGCCAUGGUGAGAAUGCUGAAGAUAAAAUUAUACCCAUAAGAAUAAAAACUGCAUGCUGUGAAGAGCUUUUGGGGGCAAAAAGGGGUAUGAUCUGAUCUGUACAGGCAAAUGUAUCGAUGCCUGCUCAGUGCAGGAAGGUUUGGUUAGUUUGUUUGUUUUGUUUGUUUUGUUUUACACUAGGCUUUUGUUUUGUUCAAUUUUUUUUCCAAUAAAUAUUUUUUAAUUAUUAUUUAUAUAAAACAUCUCCCAACCAAAC